CCCUCGCUCAACAUGAGUUCAAGUGAAAGACCCCCAGAGCGGGGAGACCCUCACUCAAGUCUCAGGAUGACUCGACCCCCCAAGAACUCACACAAGACC
rnacentral:pre_miRNA from 14 species